UUCCAUCGCCAUAUUGUAAAAACUGUCUUAUGUUGUCUGUUAAUUUUGUGACGAUUUUUUAAUAAUUAAGCGAUUAAUUAAUGAUAGUCGCCACGUGUGUGUCACCACGUGCCGUUCCGUCGCCCCCUGACACCCCACAGGCGAUUUCCUAACAUUGUAAGUGAGGCGAAAAAUGGAGCAAGAGAACCAACACACAGAAGGGCCCCCACGUAAAAAGAGCCGGCGUCUGGUGGGCCACGACUUAACUUCGUUACCAUACGAUAUUUUAGUAAAUAUCUUCAAACAUUUGGACCUCAAAACAAUCGGAGUUUGUGCUACAUUGUGUUCAACUUUUAAUAAUGUAUCCAAGGACAGCUCGCUGUACCAAAAAGUGACCCUAAAGUACAAUAUGAACAAAGAAUUUCUAGAAUCGUUUGUCUCUAAGAUAUCAUAUCCCAAAGAACUGUGCAUAGAGUAUAAGUAUUUUGAUAACCACUCGGAUAAUGAAGACUAUUCCGAAUUCGAUAAAUACGUCCGAAUCGCCCUCACAAAGUGCGGCGAACACGUGCAAUCACUCAAAAUCGACAGCUGUCGCAGUGACGACAUCCUCCUCCUCCUCUCCGAGUGCACAAACCUCAAAGAACUCACACUCUACCGUUGCAAAAGCUCCUUCCAAACCCUCACCUCAAUCUCAACCCUCAAAACAAUCAAAUGCAUUUCGUGUCACUUCCCGCAAAAAAUCGCAAGCGAAGUCAUUAAAAACAACCACGCACUGCGUAAACUACAUUUAUCGGAUAACACGAACGUCAACGUGAACGAAAUCUGCGAAAACCUUUCGCGUUCGAAUGAGCAAAUGCGCGAUAUUUUUUUCAGCGAACGAAAGAAACUCCGAGCGAAAAGCCUGAGGACGUUGGGUCGUUUGGCGAAACUCAGGAGUUUGGCUCUGGUUUCAGGGACGGGGUUCGAGUGCGAUCCCGAGGAUUCGCUCGAGCAGAUCGCGGCAGGGUGCUCGAAGUUGGAGAGACUUGUGAUUUACGGCUGGAAGGAGAUAAAUGACGAUAAUUUAAUACCGAUUUUGCACAUGUGUACACAGUUGAGAGAGCUGGAUCUCAGGGGGCUCAAUAUUACGAUAAGGAGUUGUCGGGAGGCGGCGCUUUCGCUGCCCUCCCUUAGGCUAAUGGAUGUGAUUAAGUGUCAUCGGGUCAAAAAGUCACAGCUCGCCAAACUCAAACAGGAUUUUUCCGAAAUCGAUAUUCCGUUAGAAUAAUGGUCCAUUUUUGCUUUUACAUUUAUAUUUAUUGAUAGCAUUUUCAUUGUUGUUUUUUUUUUCAUUAAUUUAAGUUGGUGUUAAAAGUCGCUUUGCUUUCCCCCAGUUUGACACUUGAAAUUCGUAUUUCGCGCCAAAUUAACUAGGCGCCCUCUGAUGGAGAAAUAUCGUACUCACCGAACUUUUGCGGGAAUGUGUUAGAUAUUCAAGGGUUAUUUUUAAUAAAACUCAUUUUUUUUUU